rnacentral:rRNA from 1 species
UCCUACGGGAGGCAGCAGUGGGGAAUUUUGGACAAUGGGCGAAAGCCUGAUCCAGCCAUGCCGCGUGCAGGAUGAAGGCCUUCGGGUUGUAAACUGCUUUUGUACGGAACGAAAAGACUCUGGUUAAUACCUGGGGUCCAUGACGGUACCGUAAGAAUAAGCACCGGCUAACUGCGUGCCAGCAGCCGCGGUAAUACGUAGGGUGCAAGCGUUAAUCGGAAUUACUGGGCGUAAAGCGUGCGCAGGCGGUUAUAUAAGACAGAUGUGAAAUCCCCGGGCUCAACCUGGGAACUGCAUUGUGACUGUAUAGCUAGAAUACGGCAGAGGGGGAUGGAAUUCCGCGUGUAGCAGUGAAAUGCGUAGAUAUGCGGAGGAACACCGAUGGCGAAGGCAAUCCCCUGGGCCUGUACUGACGCUCAUGCACGAAAGCGUGGGGAGCAAACAGGAUUAGAUACCCUGGUAGUCCACGCCCUAAACGAUGUCAACUGGUUGUUGGGUCUUCACUGACUCAGUAACGAAGCUAAUGCGUGAAGUUGACCGCCUGGGGAGUACGGCCGCAAGGUUGAAACUCAAAUGAAUUGACGGA